AAAGCCCCUGGGCUCACGGGUUGGCAAUCCAACCACUUUUCCGGAAAAGAACACCCUCUUGCGGUGGAUCAGACCGCUGGUGUUCGUGAAAUGCGUACCUGCAGUGGCGAUCAAUAUAGUAUGCUCAAAGAUCUUCCAUCGGCAACUAGCCGACAAUCCAGCCCCUCAGGGCACACCGACCGUAUAGGCCAUCAACAACUAGUCGGCUACGUAUGUCAAGAUAGAACUGUAACAACUCGACCGAAUAGGUCAUAGAUAUCAAAAUAGGGGAACCGCCCAACCAAAUCACAGAUAUAGUGAACAGAUAAGUCGACUCUACUCCUAAGCAUGAUAUCAACAUGGAACCAUCGACCGCAUGGGUCAUCAUGUAACCAAAACGACCAACCAGGUCACAAAUAUAGGAUAUGAACUCGACCAAUCAUGUCACAAGUAUAUAAUCUAGAACUACCGUCGGCCACUAGCCGACAAUCCGACCCCUCAGGGUACACCGACCUCAACAGUCAUCGGACAACAGAAGUCAAAGAACCGACCAACUAGGUUACUGAUACGAGGUACAAGAAACUACCAACCAGGUCACAAGUGUAGGAGAUGCAACGUCGACCAUCCAGGUCAUGGAGAUCACAUAGGAGAUCAGACCAACCAAAUCAUAAAUAUCAUAAACAGAUAAAGUCUACUCUACUCCUACACAUGAUACUACACCUGGCAACAAUUAAGUAGAGAGUAAUAAAGAAACAGCAUGGGUGCAAGGCUCAACAUAUAUAUGGUAAAAGAUAUAAACAACAAGGGUAAAGGAAACGUCACCGAGCGUGCACCACUGUACCAACGUCGGAUCGAAGUACCCACCUGUACGUAUCUGACGAAGAUCUCUCGACUGUGAAGACGGUGCAACCGAACCUACGAAAGGUCCAACGGGUUAAGGUCUAACCCACUGACAUGAAAAGCUAACUCACGACCCCUGCUCACCAGAACCAUGACCGGUUUCCCAAAACCGAUUACUGAAUAAACCGGAAGUCCCGAAAACCGCACCGGAACUUCACCGUCGCUCACCCGUCAUUUCCAAACCCUCAAAACGACGCGGGUGACCAGCCAACCAGGCUCAGCGACGCUACAAUCAGCCACGAGGCACCGUCGGGUGAAAUCCGAACCGGAACCGCGUUCUAUCGGCGGAUUUCGCCGAAAACGCUCCGGAAAUCACUUUUCGAUUUCCGCAAGGGCUUGGGGCCUUGGACGAUCAGUCCAGAGGUUAGCCUCAGCCCACAAAUGCUGACAACAACAUCCACAACGAAGCAGAAAACCCAAAAGCCCAUACCGAUACAUGAAAUCGCAUCAUUUCAUGUGAUUUCUAGGCUUUUCUGGACUGUGCACGCAAACCAGAGGUCGAUUAAUCCGACCGUCGCACUCGCUGACAGGUUUCAGCAUGUCGGAGGCCGUGCUCACCUUUCGGAGCACUGCCGGCCACUGCGGUGCGCGCACGAGCGAUGUGAAAUUCAGAUAAACUGCGCGCACAGCGCGAAGAUCGUGACUAACUCACAAACCAGGGCAUCAUUGCCGCUGUUGGAGGUGAGCACGAUGUUCAGCACGAGUUGUAGAUCAUCGUGCUCACUUCCCGAAGCUUAGGAGGCUUAUC
rnacentral:lncRNA from 1 species